UGCAAGUCGAACGGUGAACCAGGAGCUUGCUCUUGGGGAUCAGUGGCGAACGGGUGAGUAACACGUGAGCAACCUGCCCCUGACUCUGGGAUAAGCGCUGGAAACGGCGUCUAAUACUGGAUACGAACCACGAAGGCAUCUUCAGUGGUUGGAAAGAUUUUUUGGUUGGGGAUGGGCUCGCGGCCUAUCAGCUUGUUGGUGAGGUAAUGGCUCACCAAGGCGUCGACGGGUAGCCGGCCUGAGAGGGUGACCGGCCACACUGGGACUGAGACACGGCCCAGACUCCUACGGGAGGCAGCAGUGGGGAAUAUUGCACAAUGGGCGGAAGCCUGAUGCAGCAACGCCGCGUGAGGGAUGACGGCCUUCGGGUUGUAAACCUCUUUUAGCAGGGAAGAAGCGAAAGUGACGGUACCUGCAGAAAAAGCGCCGGCUAACUACGUGCCAGCAGCCGCGGUAAUACGUAGGGCGCAAGCGUUAUCCGGAAUUAUUGGGCGUAAAGAGCUCGUAGGCGGUUUGUCGCGUCUGCUGUGAAAUCCCGAGGCUCAACCUCGGGCCUGCAGUGGGUACGGGCAGACUAGAGUGCGGUAGGGGAGAUUGGAAUUCCUGGUGUAGCGGUGGAAUGCGCAGAUAUCAGGAGGAACACCGAUGGCGAAGGCAGAUCUCUGGGCCGUAACUGACGCUGAGGAGCGAAAGGGUGGGGAGCAAACAGGCUUAGAUACCCUGGUAGUCCACCCCGUAAACGUUGGGAACUAGUUGUGGGGUCCAUUCCACGGAUUCCGUGACGCAGCUAACGCAUUAAGUUCCCCGCCUGGGGAGUACGGCCGCAAGGCUAAAACUCAGAGGAAUUGACGGGGACCCGCACAAGCGGCGGAGCAUGCGGAUUAAUUCGAUGCAACGCGAAGAACCUUACCAAGGCUUGACAUAUACGAGAACGGGCCAGAAAUGGUCAACUCUUUGGACACUCGUAAACAGGUGGUGCAUGGUUG
rnacentral:rRNA from 1 species